CCCUUAGAUGUUCUGGGCCGCACGCGCGCUACACUGACGAAGUCAGCGAGCAUGUCCUACGCCGACAGGUGCGGGGAAUCUUGUCAAACUUCGUCGUGAUGGGGAUUGAUUAUUGAAAUUCUUGAUCAUCAACGAGGAAUUCCUAGUAAGCGCAAGUCAGCAGCUUGCGUUGAUUACGUCCCUGCCCUUUGUACACACCGCCCGUCGCUACUACCGAUUGAAUGGUUUAGUGAGAUCUUCGGAUUGGCGCCACUGCGGCUCAACAAUGGGCUCGGUGGAUGCCGAAAAGUUGAUCAAACUUGAUCAUUUAGAGGAAGUAAAAGUCGUAACA
rnacentral:rRNA from 1 species